CUCCCCUGGGGGUCAGCUUGGCCCAAAGUUCUGACUUUCUAAUCCUGUGUUUGGUCUUUCCGAUGACCAACCUUCAUCUUGAAGCUAUCUCAGGGCCACCAGGAAUCACCUCAUUAGCAUAACAAAAACACCAUCAUGACUCAGGAAAUGCCAAGGGUUUUUAAGACUCUGCCAAGAACUAGGGACAAAGAUAUAUUCUUUAGUAUACAAGAGAACUUUUACAAUUUACUGUCUCCCUCUAUGGAUCCCAAGCAACAGCUUAAUUCUCUUCCAUCUUUAGCUUUAUGAAAUAUCAGGGUGAUACUGGGAUCUUCAACGAUGUCACAGGACCCUUGCAUUUAUAGAAGUGCUGACCAAGAAGAAAAAGCA
ensembl:lincRNA